rnacentral:misc_RNA from 1 species
AAGUCGUAACAAGGUUUCCGUAGGUGAACCUGCGGAAGGAUCAUUAAUGAAUUUAGGUUGUCCUCUUCAUCGAGAGGGCAACCGACCCUUCAUUUCCAACCCUGUGCACUAUAUCUGGGAACUUGCGCAAGGAGAACCCGUCCAUUUAACAUACUCUAGUAAUUGAUGUACAAUACAAACAAAAAAAAG